CUUAUAAGUAAAAACCCCAAGAGGGCUUCCAGCAGGUAACAAAGCAGCAGGUAAGAUUUUUUUCUGGAAGAAGGCAGAGUUUAGGAAGCAGCCAGGAUUUGGGGGUUAGUUAGCAGGAGUGGGUGUCCCUCUUAUGUGUUGGUUCAAGAACGGAAGAGCACCAACUGCUCCUUGAGAUUGUGUUUUCAGUGGUGGGAAGGGGAGGUGGCUUGUAAGCAAAAGCAUAGAAUUUUCCUUCUGUCCUCGCGCCCAUCAGAGGCUUUGAAGCCCUCAGGCAGGGCCAGCAGGUUUGUUCCCUAGGCACGCCCCGGGUCAGGACUUCAUUUCCCAGAAUUCCUAGCUUUCCUAACGUACUCGGGCUCCGAGUGCCUGUGUGCGGGAGCGUAGGAAAGCGCGUGCGUGCGUGGGCGUGCUGGUGGAGGUGCAUUCUUCAGAGCCCGGGCUGGGAGGCAGCGCGGCUCUCUCCCCCGCAGUUACCGGCGUCUUGCGCGGCACCUGCAAUCCAAGGCAGGUUGCAAGCGCAGACCCGGCCUGCCCCACCCUCAUCCCCCAGGCUUCGGCUGCUGCCGCCUCUGCCGCCACUGGUCCCCCGGACCACGGACUUUUUCUGCCCCGCACUCUCCGCCUGGCCCUCGGCGUGUCCUGAAGGGAGCGGCCCAGCCCCCAGGGAAUUUCCACUGCAAGUAGAGAGACCCCGAAGGGGCGUGGGUGCCUGUGUCUGGGAACGGUGUGGAUACGAGGGUGGCUGGCGGCUUGGGGAUCAGCUCACUUUUUGGGCGCGCUUUCUAGUGAUCCGGGUGCAUCCGCCCCCAAGGCUGUCAGCGUUUCCCAUCGCCGCCUUCCAGUGCGCACCCGGCCCUGAGCGCUGCCUCACUCAAACUUUCCUUAAUGCGUUUUAUUUGGGGAGUACCAGGCGGAAAAUGUCACAUGGGAACUGGAGGGGCAGGCAGGCGAGUGGACAGCGAAGGAGAAAGCAGAGUUGUCAACUGUUACUACUUGCUCCUGAUCCCUUUGCAAAGAAGGGAGAAGUGAAGUGA
ensembl:lncRNA